UCUUCCUGCCCUUUCUUUGCUUGCCUCCACACCCCGUGCCUGGCUCACUAAUCACACAGGCUGGAGAAGAGGGACAGAGAAAAGCUGCCAACAGCACAGCAGAGCAGAGCCUGCCUCCCUCCAGCUGGGGAUGUCGGUAGCUGAAGUGGAAAGCUGGUCGAAGAAAGAUGUGGAAAGAACGAGGCCUGACUCAGUUCCUGAAAGGAGCUGCCUGACUUUCUGUGAGCCACAGCUUCUAUUCACAAACCCAGGAAGCUGGACGACGUACUGAAAGGAUUUCCUAAGAUAAGGAGAGCUCGCAGCAGGCAACCGAAAAUCUGAAGAAAAUGAGAUGCCCUAGAAGGUGAACUUGGUGUAACAAAAAGACGUUUUGAAAGAUAAGUAGAGAGGCCGUCCUGCAAAAUGUCAUGGCUGACAAUGGUAGAGAUACGGAAAGGAGCAUCUGUCCUGCAAAACAGGGAGGGGUUUCAGCUGGGAGGGGUCCCACAGCUGACGCCAGGCGUCCGAGGUAGGGGAUGCUGUUCUGCCUUCCUUUUCUUGAAAUGCUUGCUGAUAGACGGACCUAGUUUUAAACCCUGAGUCAUUGUAGUUUAGCCAGCUAUGGCUGAUGAAAGCACGGCAGUCAUCAAAACUCACAGGGAGGCAGGCUCCCUCAAAAACCUGAAAUCUGUACACGGGGUACGUGGAGAGAAAUGUGACACAGCGUUUGGACACACUUUUAAACCGCAACACGGGACCGUAUAGAUGACAGCUGGAAACACGUUCUGAGGACGUGAGAAGUUCAGUGUUCACUGGCUUCCUUUUUGAGGUUGUUAAAUUGCUGAUAUGCAAAUAAAAAUCAUUGAGCCAUUG